AUCGUAGUUCUUUCACUACAGCGCAGCUGUUGAAGUGACGGCCCCGGGCCCCCGUGCACGCAUGGGCCCGUCGUGGUGGUCGGUUCCGCCUCAGAAACGGCGCUUUCGGUUCUAUUUGGAACCGACUACAUCGUCAAAGUUCCCCUACAGAUUGUGUGGAGCCAGAAGAAAGAAUCGUCUGCUGCUCAAGAUGCUUCACAGGCAAGUUCAGAUGAGCUUACUGAGGAUAAUGUUGGGCUCGAAGAUGAACCAAAUCUGCAGGAUGAAUUUCCUAUAACAGCCAGCAAGGUCCAUGGUAAUUCGGAAUGUAGUCAAGCUCCGACAUAAUCCUGAGGGCUCCUGAGGAUGUUGAAGUCGACAACCCAGAUGCUGACCUCUGAUUGUGUGGCAAGAAAUUCAGCAGUAAUGCUUCCUGGCCUCUCUGUAAGUAGAUUGCAGGCUUGUGCUUGUGUGAGUCGUAUUUCAAUAAAAAUGUGCUUACUGGAUUACAACCACUGAUAGCUCAUAUUUGAAGGUACGAGAUCAAACGGCUCCGUGUAAAGCACCGAUUAUGUGAGAUACUGGUGAUGGAGUACUGACUCAGAUUUUAGAGGUUUCCAUAUUCUUGCGCUUAAUAAAAUUGGUGUCAAGAACACUAACAAGUUUGUUGGGGUUGCUCGGAACGCAUUUAGUAUAUUUUCAAUGCCACAUCCUUAAAAAAACAUUUGUGGCUUUCAUAUCGAGCUGGUGGUUACGUGUAAACACAGUGUGACUUAGGUCUAAGUCACGUGAGGACAGCAACACUUGAUGUUCUUGCAACACUCUGUAGUUUCGGAAAGGGCAUUUUGGAAGGCAACGGAAUGCAAAUUCUGGCUUUUGUAUUACAGUGUCCCAUGUCUCUAUGACAUUCUGCCUGAGAUACAUCAGGCAUUUCAUGUCGCUUUCAAACAGUGUCUUCAUGCUGCUCAAGGAAACUGUUGAGGAGUCUGAGACAUUUAUUGCUGAGAGAUUGUUAAAGAGGUUUGUUCAAGCGGUUUCCAUACUGUAUGGUGCAGCCGCUCAGACCACAUUAUUGUUAUGCCAGUAAAUUAUCUGUCAGCAGUAUUCUUUACCCUUCAUGUACAGCAUCGAGCAUCCACCAGCACAUGUAGGGCAGUGUUUGCUGCGUGAAAGCAGCAUGGCUUCACCAUGUGUUCUUGUAAAUCGAGGGGGAACAUUCGUUGUAGCAAAAUGCCGAAUGUUUUUGAAGGUGACUAAAUGAUGUGUGCCAUAUUUUUCUAGUGUACGAGACGUGUUUCUCCAAAAGUUCAUAUGGUGCACAUUGUACAACAGUUGAUAUGAUAGGUUAAAAUGUACAGUUUUCCUUUUCUUUCUUUCAUUGGUGAGCAUGUCUCCUUUUUUUCAGUGCACUUGUUAUUAAUCCCCCUGCCGCAUGCAGCAGAGUGUUUCUGCUUUUUAUUAAUUACUCAAGUGCCUUAUGUGUCAAAUAAUUACUCAUUACUUGGCGAAGGCCUUGUGAUAGUAAGGCAGAGACUAUUGCAGAAAUCUUUUUCGUUUAACAUUGAUCUGACACCUGAAUGUAACUACUCUGAUUGACGAUAUAGACUUAUACAGGAUUUUUUAAAGGAAGAUUCAGUCACACUUACUAUCUACAUAAAUAUAAUCACCAUGAUCAAAUCAUUGUUUUGUAUUCCCUAAAGUAUUUUUUUUUUAUUUUUGAAACGUUAUAUACUGAAAUCUUACGUUUCGUCAUGCAAGUCACAUUCACGUUUGUUUAUGUUCUCAAACUUUGUUUCAUUUGUUGGUCACAUAUAUGCCUUACUGAUGUCAUUGCCUGGGCCAAUUCGCUCAUCUAUUUGUUUUCUUAUACACAUGUGACUUGCAUGUAGCAGUAUUAAUGAGAACUAACAGACAAUAAUGCCAAGGAAAGUAUAGGGGGUGUUAUUUGUAGCAAUUAGGAUAAAAUGUGAAGAAAGUAAAG